CACGUAGGGGGCAAGCGUUGUCCGGAUUUAUUGGGCGUAAAGAGCUCGUAGGUGGCUCAGUAAGUCAGGUGUGAAACCUCCAGGCUCAACCUGGAGACGCCACCUGAUACUGCUGUGGCUAGAGUCCGGUAGGGGAGCGUGGAAUUCCUGGUGUAGCGGUGAAAUGCGCAGAUAUCAGGAGGAACACCCAGGGGGAAACCAGUCGACUGGGCAUCUACUGACGCUGAGGUGCGAGAGCGUGGGGAGCGAACCGG
rnacentral:rRNA from 1 species